GCGGGAGCUCGCGCUCGCCAGCGCCGCGCCCGCCUCAGGGCCGCCCGCGGGGCCUUCUGCGGUGGGAAGAGGCCGCCGAGUCCUCGGCGCCUCGCAGCGGUGGAGGGGAGCCCCGCCACCGAGGUGAAGAAACUGAAGCCCAGAAAGGUGCUAGCAGCAAUAGUGUCAUUUACUUUGGGGAAGAACUUUUCUCUGGGACAAGAACUUCUCAUGUCACCUUCCUCUGAUACUGGCAGAAGUGUAGUCAUACAGGAAUCGGAGGCCCUUGGCUCAAGGAUGAAGACAUGUACAUACCCAGGAAAUACUCAGGCCACAACCCUGGAAUUGUAAAGGUAUAAUUGGACAAGGGAAUAAAACCAUGCACAAUUUUAAUUUUUACCAUAGAAAGGAUUUCUGAUAAGACUGUAAUUCAAGAAAUCCAGUGAAUAAAGAGUACAUGGACAGACAGCAAUAUAAAAAAAAUUAGUUUAUAAAUUAUUAGUAAGUAACUGUUUCUGAGCAGAAUUGUGGUUGAUUGUAUUAUUUUUCCCAGUAACUGCUACUUAUAAGAGAACAUCUUCCUGUAAGCAGAAAUGGGAUGUGCCAGAUGCCAGUUUAAGACACACUAUAUGUUUCCAACAAUUAUUGCUCUUUUCCCUCUGAGAAUGAGAUGACCCAGGACAUGUACUAGAGAGGGGCACUGCUUCAGCCCGGCAUUGGCACAAAGCCACAACUAAUCUGCAGCUCAUGUAAAAAGUGAGCAAGAAACAAUUUUUUUUAGUUUUGAGAUUUUUUGGCAGUUUUUAUUGCUGAAUAAUUAUAGUUAAAAGCUUGCUG
rnacentral:lncRNA from 1 species